AGCAGCCGCGGUAAUUCCAGCUCCAAUAGCGUAUAUUAAAGUUGUUGCAGUUAAAAAGCUCGUAGUUGAAUUUCGGGGUUAGUAGGUCGGUCGUGCCACUGGUAUGUACUGGUCUCACUGAUUCCUCCUUCCUGAUGAACCGUAAUGCCAUUAAUUUGGUGUUGCGGGGAGACUGGACUGUUACUUUGAAAAAAUUAGAGUGUUUAAAGCAGGCUCGCGCUUGAAUACAUUAGCAUGGAAUAAUGAAAUAGGACGUUUGAUUCUAUUUUGUUGGUUUCUAGGAUCGACGUAAUGAUUAAUAGGGAUAGUUGGGGGCAUUAGUAUUCAAUUGUCAGAGGUGAAAUUCUUGGAUUUAUUGAAGACUAACUACUGCGAAAGCAUUUGCCAAGGAUGUUUUCAUUAAUCAAGAACGAAAGUUAGGGGAUCGAAGACGAUCAGAUACCGUCGUAGUCUUAACCAUAAACUAUGCCGACUAGGGAUCGGAUGAUGUUAAUUUUUUAAUGACUCAUUCGGCGCCUUA
rnacentral:sRNA from 1 species